rnacentral:rRNA from 1 species
UACGUAGGUGGCAAACGUUGUCCGGAUUUAUUGGGCUUAAAGGGUGCGUAGGCGGUUUUCUAAGUCAGCAGUGAAAUACGGCAGCUCAACUGUCGAGGUGCUGUUGAUACUGGGGAACUUGAGUACUGAUGAGGUAGGCGGAAUGGACGGUGUAGCGGUGAAAUGCUUAGAGAUCGUCCAGAACACCGAUAGCGAAGGCAGCUUACUAAGGAGUAACUGACGCUGAGGCACGAAAGUGUGGGGAUCAAACAGG